rnacentral:rRNA from 1 species
GAUGAACGCUGGCGGCGUGCCUAAUACAUGCAAGUCGAGCGAACGGACGAGAAGCUUGCUUCUCUGAUGUUAGCGGCGGACGGGUGAGUAACACGUGGAUAACCUACCUAUAAGACUGGGAUAACUUCGGGAAACCGGAGCUAAUACCGGAUAAUAUUUUGAACCGCAUGGUUCAAAAGUGAAAGACGGUCUUGCUGUCACUUAUAGAUGGAUCCGCGCUGCAUUAGCUAGUUGGUAAGGUAACGGCUUACCAAGGCAACGAUGCAUAGCCGACCUGAGAGGGUGAUCGGCCAGACGGGAACUGAGACACGGUCCAGACUCCGAGGGGAGGCAGCAGUAGGGAAUCUUCCGCAAUGGGCGAAAGCCUGACGGAGCAAAGCCGCGUGAGGGAUGAAGGUCUUCGGAUCGUAAAACUCUGUUAUUAGGGAAGAACAUAUGUGUAAGUAACUGUGCACAUCUUGACGGUACCUAAUCAGAAAGCCACGGCUAACUACGUG